rnacentral:rRNA from 1 species
GAUGAACGCUAGCGGCAGGCUUAACACAUGCAAGUCGAGGGGUAUUGGUUUUCGGACCAAGAGACCGGCGCACGGGUGCGUAACGCGUAUGCAAUCUACCUUUCACAGAGGGAUAGCCCAGAGAAAUUUGGAUUAAUACCUCAUAGUAUAUUGAGUUAGCAUCAACACAAUAUUAAAGUCACAACGGUGAAAGAUGAGCAUGCGUCCCAUUAGCUAGUUGGUAAGGUAACGGCUUACCAAGGCUACGAUGGGUAGGGGUCCUGAGAGGGAGAUCCCCCACACUGGUACUGAGACACGGACCAGACUCCUACGGGAGGCAGCAGUGAGGAAUAUUGGACAAUGGGCGCAAGCCUGAUCCAGCCAUGCCGCGUGCAGGAUGACGGUCCUAUGGAUUGUAAACUGCUUUUGCACAGGAAGAAACAACUCUACGUGUAGAGUCUUGACGGUACUGUGAGAAUAAGGAUCGGCUAACUCCGUGCCAGCAGCCGCGGUAAUACGGAGGAUCCAAGCGUUAUCCGGAAUCAUUGGGUUUAAAGGGUCCGUAGGCGGUUUAGUAAGUCAGUGGUGAAAGCCCAUCGCUCAACGGUGGAACGGCCAUUGAUACUGCUAGACUUGAAUUAUUAGGAAGUAACUAGAAUAUGUAGUGUAGCGGUGAAAUGCUUAGAGAUUACAUGGAAUACCAAUUGCGAAGGCAGGUUACUACUAAUGGAUUGACGCUGAUGGACGAAAGCGUGGGUAGCGA